rnacentral:rRNA from 1 species
CCUAACACAUGCAAGUCGAACGGUAACAGGAAACAGCUUGCUGUUUCGCUGACGAGUGGCGGACGGGUGAGUAAUGUCUGGGAAACUGCCUGAUGGAGGGGGAUAACUACUGGAAACGGUAGCUAAUACCGCAUAACGUCGCAAAACCAAAGAGGGGGACCUCCGGGCCUCUUGCCAUCGGAUGUGCCCAGAUGGGAUUAGCUAGUAGGUGGGGUAACGGCUCACCUAGGCGACGAUCCCUAGCUGGUCUGAGAGGAUGACCAGCCACACUGGAACUGAGACACGGUCCAGACUCCUACGGGAG